CAGGUAAACCACAGAUAGAAACUGGAUUAUGAGGGACAUGCAGAGUGAUUCAAAAUUCCCUCAGGACAGCUCUUCAGGGAGCCAGUAUCAAAGGAGGAGCACUCAGGUGUCAUAUUGCACAAAUACAUGGGACAUAUGAAGACUUAUUCAUGACUAUGGCAUGUAAAGCAUAAGGAUCUUGCAGGAGGCCUGAAAAGCUAAACAUCAUGGAUAUCCUGUAAGAAGAAUGGAUGACAUGAAAAAAUCCACAGCUUCAAAUGGGAAAAAACCUUAAAUUUGAAAAUAGCUUCCAAGAACUACAGGUAAUGGUCUCUGUCUGUGUACUUAAAAUGGGCUUAGUAGUCUUCAUAUAUGAUGAUGAAAGCUACACCUA